rnacentral:rRNA from 1 species
GACGAACGCUGGCGGCGUGCCUAACACAUGCAAGUCGAGCGAGUGAAUCUCCUUCGGGAGUGAAGCUAGCGGCGGACGGGUGAGUAACACGUGGGCAACCUGCCUCAUAGAGGGGAAUAGCCUUUCGAAAGGAAGAUUAAUACCGCAUAAGAUUGUAGCUUCGCAUGAAGUAGCAAUUAAAGGAGGAAUCCGCUAUAAGAUGGGCCCGCGGCGCAUUAGCUAGUUGGUGAGGUAACGGCUCACCAAGGCGACGAUGCGUAGCCGACCUGGGAGGGUGAUCGGCGACAUAGGGGCUGAGACACGGCCCAGACUCCUACGGGAGGCAGCAGUGGGGAAUAUAGCACAAUGGGGGAAACCCUGAUGCAGCAACGCCGCGUGAGUGAUGACGGCCUUCGGGUUGUAAAGCUCUGUCUUCAGGGACGAUAAUGACGGUACCUGAGGAGGAAGCCACGGCUAACUACGUGCCAGCAGCCGCGGUAAUAC